rnacentral:rRNA from 1 species
GACGAACGCUGGCGGCGUGCCUAAUACAUGCAAGUCGAACGCAGUGGGGACGGGUGAGUAACACGUGGGUAACCUCCCAUCAGAGGGGAUAACACUUGGAAACAGGUGCUAAACCGAUACUGAUGGAUGGACCCGCGGUGCAUUAGCUAGUUGGUGAGGUAACGGCUCACCAAGGCCACGAUGCAUAGCCGACCUGAGAGGGUGAUCGGCCACACUGGGACUGAGACACGGCCCAGAAUCCAAUGUGAGGCAGCAGUAGAGAAUCGUCGGCGAUGGAGGAAAGUCUAACCGAGCAACGCCGCGUGAGUGAAGAAGGUUGUCGAAUCGAAGAUCUCUGUUGUUGGAGAAGCGGUAUCUAACCAGAGAGCCGGGGCGAACUACGUGCCAGCAGCCGCGGUAAUAC